GACGCACUCUCAGAGUUUGAUCCUGGCUCAGGAUGAACGCUAGCUACAGGCUUAACACAUGCAAGUCGAGGGGCAGCAUGGGCUUAGCUUGCUAAGCCCGAUGGCGACCGGCGCACGGGUGAGUAACACGUAUCCAACCUUCCGGUAACUCCGGUAUAGCCUUUCGAAAGAAAGAUUAAUCCCGGAUAGUAUGGUGAUUCCGCAUGGUUUCUCCAUUAAAGGAUUCCGGUUACCGAUGGGGAUGCGUUCCAUUAGUUAGUUGGUGAGGUAACGGCUCACCAAGGCAUCGAUGGAUAGGGGAGCUGAGAGGCUUAUCCCCCACAUUGGGACUGAGACACGGCCCAA
rnacentral:rRNA from 1 species